AGACAGGAGCCCCAGCCCCGGGAUCCCCAGGUGUCCCCAUUCUGUGAUCAGGACUGAACACAGACGACGCACCAUGGACUUUGGGCUCAGCUGGGUUUUCCUUGUGGCUAUUUUAAGAGGUGUCCAUUGUGAGGUGCAGCUGGUGGAGUCUGGGGGAGGCUUGGUGCAGCCUGGGGGGUCUCUGCGACUCUCCUGUGCAGCCUCUGGAUUCACCUUCAGUAGCUACGGCAUGAACUGGGUCCGCCAGGCUCCAGGGAAGGGACUGGAGUGGGUGGCAGUUAUAUGGUAUGACGGAAGUCAGAAAUACUAUGCCGACUCCAUGAAGGGCCGAUUCACCAUCUCCAGAGACAAUGCCAAGAACACGCUGUACCUGCAAAUGACCAGCCUGAGAGCCGAGGACACGGCCGUGUAUUACUGUGUGAAGGACACAGUGAGGGGAAGUCAAUGUGAGCCCAGACACAAACCUCCCUGCAGGGGACAGGGGGUUGGGCUGCAGGGGGCGCUCAGGACACACUGA